rnacentral:rRNA from 1 species
AAGCAGAAACCCGCGAACUUGUCUAUACAUCUGGGAACGUGUGGGUUAGGCCUAGUUGUCUUACCUUCCACUUUCCCCUCGCGAGUAUAUGUGCACGGGCCCUUUGGGCACGUGUCCCAUCUACUUGUCGAACAACGAACUCCGGCGCAAAUCGCGCCAAGGACGCUUGAACAAGUUUGUGCACGCCCCCUGCCCGUUUUCGGGUGGUGCUGGCGUACACUUCUUUCGAAAAACAAAACGACUCUCGGCAACGGAUAUCUCGGCUCUUGCAUCGAUGAAGAACGUAGCGAAAUGCGAUACUUGGUGUGAAUUGCAGAAUCCCGUGAACCAUCGAGUCUUUGAACGCAAGUUGCGCCUGAAGCCAUUAGGCUGAAGGCACGUCUGCCUGGGCGUCACGCAUCGCGUCACCCACUCACCCCAUGCCUCCUCUAUGGCCAGGUUAAGUGCGUGGGUGGAUAUUGGCCCCCCGUACACACUCGUGCACGGUCGGCCUAAAAGAAGGGUCCCCAAUGACGGACAUCACGACAAGUGGUGGUUGUCAAACCGUCGCGACACGCCGUGCAUGCCAUUCUUCGCUGGGGACUGCCUCGU